ensembl:Mt_tRNA
AGCCCUGUGGUGUACAACAUAUUAGGUUGCAAACCUAAGGAUGCAGGCUAACGACCUGCCGGGGCUU